GGUAGAGCACAACACUUUUAAUGUUGGGGUCUUGGGUUCGAGCCCCAGGCGGAUCA
rfam:Prevotella sp. CAG:255 genomic scaffold, scf88